rnacentral:rRNA from 1 species
GACGAACGCUGGCGGCGUGCUUAACACAUGCAAGUCGAACGGAAAGGCCCUGCUUUUGUGCGGUGCUCGAGUGGCGAACGGGUGAGUAACACGUGAGUAACCUGCCCUUGACUUUGGGAUAACUUCAGGAAGCUGGGGCUAAUACCGGAUAGGAGCUCCUGCUUCAUGGUGGGGGUUGGAAAGUUUCGGCGGUUGGGGAUGGACUCGCGGCUUAUCAGCUUGUUGGGGGGGUAGUGGCUUACCAAGGCUUUGACGGGUAGCCGGCCUGGGAGGGUGACCGGCCCCAUUGGGACUGAGAUACGGCCCAGACGCCAACGGGAGGCAGCGGGGGGGAAUAUGGCACAAUGGGCGGAAGCCUGAUGCAGCAACGCCGCGUGCGGGAUGACGGCCUUCGGGUAGUAAACCGCUUUCGCCUGUGACGAAGCGUGAGUGACGGUAACGGGUAAAGAAGCACCGGCUAACUACGUG